UUGGCAGAAGCACCUGAACCUGAUGUCUAC
rnacentral:piRNA from 1 species